GAUGAACGCUAGCGGCAGGCUUAACACAUGCAAGUCGAGGGGUAUAGUAGCAAUACUAGAGACCGGCGCACGGGUGCGUAACGCGUAUGCAAUCUACCUUUUACAGAGGGAUAGCCCAGAGAAAUUUGGAUUAAUGCCUCAUAGCAUAGCAGCUUCGCAUGAAGUCACUAUUAAAGUUCCAACGGUAAAAGAUGAGCAUGCGUCCUAUUAGCUAGAUGGUAAGGUAACGGCUUACCAUGGCUACGAUAGGUAGGGGUCCUGAGAGGGAGAUCCCCCACACUGGUACUGAGACACGGACCAGACUCCUACGGGAGGCAGCAGUGAGGAAUAUUGGACAAUGGGCGCAAGCCUGAUCCAGCCAUGCCGCGUGCAGGAAGACGCAUCUAUGGUGUGUAAACUGCUUUUGUACGGGAAGAAACACUCCCUCGUGAGGGAGCUUGACGGUACCGUAAGAAUAAGGAUCGGCUAACUCCGUGCCAGCAGCCGCGGUAAUACGGAGGAUCCGAGCGUUAUCCGGAAUCAUUGGGUUUAAAGGGUCCGUAGGCGGUUUGGUAAGUCAGUGGUGAAAGCCCAUCGCUUAACGAUGGAACGGCCAUUGAUACUGCCAGACUUGAAUUACUAGGAAGUAACUAGAAUAUGUAGUGUAGCGGUGAAAUGCUUAGAUAUUACAUGGAAUACCAAUUGCGAAGGCAGGUUACUACUAGUGGAUUGACGCUGAUGGACGAAAGCGUGGGGAGCGAACAGGAUUAGAUACCCUGGUAGUCCACGCCGUAAACGAUGGAUACUAGCUGUUCGGAGCAAUCUGAGUGGCUAAGCGAAAGUGAUAAGUAUCCCACCUGGGGAGUACGUUCGCAAGAUUG
rnacentral:rRNA from 1 species